ensembl:lncRNA
GCGCGCUCCCCCCUAGGGUUCCGGAUGGUGAGCGGCGAAGGUAAGGCGAGCUCGCAGAGGCAUCGGCGGCGGCGGCGGAGACGGAGAGAGGCAGGCAGGCAGGGCGAGGGCGAGAGACGGAGGGAGGGAGCGAGCGAGGCGGACCAGACAGACAGACAGGCGGGCGGGCGGGCAGAGCGAGCCACCCGCCAGGCUGCGCUCAGCCCCGCUCGCAGCGGAGAGAGCAGAAGGCAGGAGGAGGGAGGGGAGGAGGAGGAGGGAGGGAGAGAGGGAAUCCAGCUACCACCACCCAAAGCCAGCGUCUGCUUUCUGUCCUCAUUUCCUUUUCCCACCCAGCUUGGAGAGCAGAGAAAGGCAGAGAGAGCGAGAAAUAGAGACAGUCUGAGAGACAGACAGACAGCCAGAGAGAGCGGGAGGGAGGAGGGCGGAGGAGGAGGAGCAGGAGGACUACGCGGGGCGCGUUCCCUCCCAGGUUUGCAAUUGGGGGGGUGGGGGCGGGGGUGUCCAGGGCUGGGAGAGUGUGUGCGCGGCGGGAGGGCGAGGGGAGCGCAGAGAGAGCGAAGGAGUGAUCGAGGUGGGGGGGCGCCGCGGGAGCGGGGGGCCGUGUCCAGCGGAGUUAGCGGCGGAGAAUGUGAGCCGAGGCGCGAGCCAUGCUGUCAGCGACGGCGGGCGGCUCAGGGCUCCUCCACGACUCCUCUCCUCAGCAGCCGGGCGCCCGCGUCGCUGCCACCGCCGGAAGACAGACGCCCCCUAAAACCCCUCGCCUGGCUCGGACCCACGGAGCCGGCAGCCCAGCACUCCGAUGGGAGCUUGCCUGAUUGUCAAGCCAUCGGCCUGGACCCCAGAGCCUACCCAGCUGAGCAUGUGCAGAGGGCCCCGAGUGCGGGGCGACGCUCAGGCCAUUACAGAGACCACCCUGGAGAUGCUGAUGAAGACAGGCCUUUCCUGCUGAGCCGGGCCUGUCUGCACAGCCUGCUCAGGCGCUGUCCACGCCCCGAGGCCUGGGCUCAGGCCGAAGUUGCUCCACAGCACCCCCAGCUGACAGCCAGCGACUGGCAGAGCCCCCAGGCACGGGGGCCCUCUCUCUUCCAGAGAUCUACAGUGUGACAGCCCAGGCGGCAGAGCCGAGGGUCCUGGUCCCGGCUUCUCGCACCCUCAUGUCAGCCCCGGCCCCGCCCGGCGGC